GUGGGGAGAAGGGGCGGGUCGCAGCGCGGGCCGCGCAGGCGCACCGCGGGCGGCUGCUAUGGCGCUGCCUGGCCCCCUGAACAGGUAUCUGCUGCUCAUGGCGCAAGAGCACCUGGAGUUCCGCCUGCCGGAGAUAAAGUCUUUGCUUUCACUUUUUGGAGGUCAGUUCAUCAGUAAUCAAGGAACUUAUGGAAAGUCUCCUUUUUGGAUUCUUAGCAUUCCCUCUGAAGAGAUUGCCAGAAAUUUAAUGAAACGGACAGUGUGUGCCAAGUCCAUAUUUGAACUGUGGGGUCAUGGAAGAUCUUCAGAGGAGCUGUAUCGUUCUCUUAGGAGCUACCCUGUGGAGAAGAUGGUUCCAUUUCUGCAUUCAGAUUCAACGUAUAAAAUAAAGAUUCAUACAUUUAAUAAAACAUUGACACAAGAAGAAAAAGUCAAACGAAUAGAUGCACUUGAGUUUCUGCCAUUUGAAGGAAAAGUGAAUUUAAAGAAGCCACAGCAUAUAUUCUCUCUUUUGGAGGAUUAUGGUUUGGACCCAAACUGCAUCCCUGAGAAUCCACAUAAUGUUUAUUUUGGUAGAUGGAUUGCAGAUGGACAGAGGGAGCUUAUCGAGUCAUACAGUGUCAAAAAGAGACAUUUUAUUGGAAAUACAAGCAUGGAUGCUGGUUUAUCAUUUAUCAUGGCCAACCAUGGAAAAGUGAAAGAAAAUGAUAUUGUCUUUGAUCCAUUUGUUGGAACAGGUGGCCUUCUGAUAGCAUCUGCACAUUUUGGUGCAUAUGUGUAUGGGACAGACAUAGACUACAACACAGUUCAUGGCUUGGGAAAGGCUAGUAGGAAAAACCAGAAAUGGAGAGGACCAGAUGAAAACAUUAGGGCAAAUCUUCGUCAGUAUGGUUUAGAGAAGUAUUACCUUGAUGUCCUGGUUUCAGAUGCAUCUAAGCCUUCCUGGAGGAAGGGCACGUAUUUUGAUGCAAUCAUCACUGAUCCUCCAUAUGGAAUCAGAGAAUCUACAAGAAGAACAGGUUCACAGAAGGAAAUACCGAAGGGGAUGGAAAAAUGUCCAGAAAGCCAUGUUCCUGUUUCCUUGAGUUAUCAUCUGAGUGAUAUGUUUUUUGACCUGUUAAACUUUGCAGCUGAGACCCUCGUAUUAGGUGGAAGACUAGUCUAUUGGUUACCUGUGUAUACACCAGAAUCAAGUCAAAAAGAUACAUUGAAGAGAUGGUUCCCUCGCACCCUUGCCUGAAACUCAUUAGCAACUGUGAGCAGAAGCUUUCCAGUCACACAUCAAGGCGCUUGAUAACAAUGGAAAAGGUGAAGAAGUUCGAGAACCGGGACCAGUCUUCACAUCUGCCAAACGAUCACUCUCUGCUAUACCAAGGCCAUAACUCCUUCCGGGAGAAAUAUUUCAGUGGGGUGACCAAAAGAAUUGCCAAGGAAGAAAAAUCUAGCCAGGAGUGAAAAUUAAGAUUUUGACAAUGGAGAAAGAAUAAAGAUUUGAUAGAAAAGACAUCUGGAUGUGAACUUUUAAGUAUGAUCCGGAAAACAUGUACUGUUUUAAGUGAUUUUAUGUAACAAAAUAAAUGCUACAAAGUAAAUUGAAUAAUUCUUGUAACAUUAGCUUUUUUUAUACACUAUUUUGUUGUAUGUGGUCUUUUGAACCUUAUUUAAUUUAUAUUUGUACUUUUAAGUAUUAUGGCAAUUGAAAACAGUUAUAUUUUUGGUAACUAAUUUACAAAGGGAACUAAUAAUGACUUUUUAAACAGGUAUCUGCUGGGCAUCUUAUAGGCAGUCAGUAGUGAUUGAGAAUUUAUUCACUGGAUAGAUUUAAUUUGGUUUUUGAUUGUAAUUGAUUUAAUAAAGCUUACUGAGGAUUCCUAAAA